GCACUCACGUUGCCCUUCUCAAAUUUGUUGACGUUGUUCUUGCUCAUGAUCAUGAGUCGCUCUCCCGUGUCACCCAGGUCACCGAUUAUGUUGAGGAAGACGCUGGCGUCGGUGCCGCUGCCGCUGACGUUGCCGGGCAGCGGCUCUUCAAUGUGCGCUCCGGUAGCUGGAAGCUCUCGGACGAUCUCGUUGUCGUCUUCAUUGAUGUCCAGCCAGCGGCCACAUUGGAAAGAAUAUUUCUCCAUCGUCAGAGUCUUGAGCAAAGUGACCUGCAGAGAGUCACACUCAUCUUCAUCUCAGGCAAAUUAAAACGGCAGCAGUGGCAUUAACCAAGCACUUAACAAGCUAAAGUGAGAUGGAUUAAGUCCAGACAGAGAGAGCAUAUCACCUCAGUUUAAGAUAACCUGCACUGGCUGCUUUUAGGUUUACAGUAUUUUUACUUGUUUAAAAGGUUUUUAGUGGCUGUUAACGACUCCUUUGGUGUUUUAAUAGUCUUUUUUAGCCUCUAGGAUCCCCUGCUGCUAGUUGCACGGAUCCUCAGGUGCAGGAUUAGACCCUAAUUU